AAUCCCCGCAGGCGCUGGGUCUGCAGAUGGCGUCCAGGUACACAGUGGCGAGUGUGAUUCCGCAGUCUUGGGCUGUUUGGCCAAGCGCCCGCCGGACAUGGUACGCCGAAGGGUCAUCGGCGUGGAGUCCUCGCUUUCAGCGUCCGCGGCUGGGAAAUCGGCCAUCGCUACGGCGGGAACUGGGACUCGGGCUGCGUCCCGGCCCUUCCACAUCGGUCCACCGCACUCGUGGGCGCCCGCAUUGGUGCUGACAUAAUUUCCUGACCUCUGACCCGUAUUGUCUCGCGAUUAAAGGUCCAGAUUUGGAACAAAUCUCUCUAGAGAUUGAACAGAGCUGCGCCUGGAUCCCUCAGCAGUGAGGAGACCUGAAGACCAGAGGAAACACAGCAAGUCCAGGCACUCCCACUCCUCCUGAGAGAAAUCUACAGCCACAUCCCUGAACAUCAUCAACUGUUGGAAAGAAUAAUUCCAAGUAUUAAUGUGCUCUGCCAGAUUGGGACACAGGAGAUAACUGAAAGCCCUGGUGGAUAGAUUUGGUCAUACUGGUUGGAGAAAAGAGGGAUAUCUAGGGAAAGCAUUGGACUGUUUCACAGUCAUUACUUAUGACACUCAAUAGUGAUUCAGGGGCUCACCAGAGAAGACAGGGCAAGGUGAGGGGGAUCUCCUAGCAGAGGAAACAACAUGCGCCAAUCAAGCAAAGAUAUUUUUGUGCAUUCAAGGAACACAGAGAGGAAAGACAGUGGCAGAUGGAGACGUAUAAAGCAGGGAUCCUGUUAUGAAAAGCCCUAAAAAAUAGGGUAUAGAGUUUGGGCCAUAUUUCAGAGGUAAUAAGAAAGCAUUCUGCAUUUUUAAAGUAAGGUUUAAAAAUGUUUCUAAUUAGAGAUACAGCAAAGUUGGUGUGAGAGGAUAAAGACUGAUAUACAUAAUCUGAGGAGUUCAUGAAAAUUCCAUGUAAAGCCUGUAGUAUGAAUUGGUCCUAGGAGACAGACAGCUUCAGGGGCAUAGAGAACUUUAAGCACUUUUCCAAGAAGAGUGAAGGGCUGGAGAAUAAAUUGUGAACUAAAAUAUAUUUUGUGUUUGAGAACAUGAAGUACUUGAGAGUGAUUAUUACACGGUUUUAAGAAAAAACUAGUUCUUUUAAAUAAAACUUUUUUUUAGCUGAGCACAGUGGCUCACGCCUGUAAUCCCAGCACUUUGGGAGGCCGAGGCAGGCGGAUCACCUGAGGUCGGGAGUUCGAGAUCAGCCUGACCAACAUGGACAAACCUCGUCUUAAUUAAAAA
rnacentral:lncRNA from 1 species